rnacentral:snRNA from 1 species
AUACUUACCUGGAUGGGGUCAAUGGAUGAUCAAGAAGUUUCAUGGCCUAUGUUGGUGACCUCCAUUGCACUUUGGAGGGGUGCCUCCAUAAGGUGUUCUCAAGUGGAACAGCCUACAUCAUAAUUUGUUGGAGUGGGGGUCAGCGUUCGCGCGGCCCCUUC